GGGGAAUUGUUCGCAAUGGGCGCAAGCCUGACGACGCAACGCCGCGUGGAGGCUGAAGGUCUUCGGAUUGUAAACUCCUGUUGCCCGGGACGAAUGGCUCCAACUUAAUACGUUGGAGUGUGACGGUACCGGGUGAGGAAGCCCCGGCUAACUACGUGCCAGCAGCCGCGGUAAUACGUAGGGUGCGAGCGUUAAUCGGAAUUACUGGGCGUAAAGUGUGCGCAGGUGGCCGCGCAAGUCGAGUGUGAAAGCCCCGGGCUUAACUUGGGAAUUGCGCUCGAAACUACGUGGCUCGAGUGUGGCAGAGGAAGGUGGAAUUCCACGUGUAGCGGUGAAAUGCGUAGAGAUGUGGAGGAACACCGAUGGCGAAGGCAGCCUUCUGGGCCAACACUGACGCUCAUGCACGAAAGCGUGGGGAGCAAA
rnacentral:rRNA from 1 species